UCGGCGGACUGCGCGGAGAACAGGCCGGGCAGAGUGGAGCCGAGGAGGCAGCGCCGCGUGUUUAUUUUCACGUGGCCCGAAAAGAGAGCUUAUCUUAAUGUAGUGUCUUUGGAUUUUCUGCGGUCACAAACCCCUGUGAACAUCUUUGAGAGCUGUAACGUUGUCUCCAGAAAAAUAUAUUGCCAAGAAAAAGAGGGUAACACUCCGACCUCCAGCAGACUGAACUAACACAAAAGUCACUGGCAUGCAGGGCAAGCAUACAAAUGGAGGCACAUUCCAAGCGUCUAAGUAUUUAUAAAUCAAGCUAACAACUGGGAACGGAUCCUCUUCAUGCAGCGGUCAAGUGAGAAACUGGAGAGUUUCUUGGAAAAUACUCCCAUCUUCCAUCUUCCUUUGAACCUCCUGCUCUGCAGACUCUUUCUGUUAACUCUCCUUUGCUGGCUCUGGUGACGUAACCCACCCUUUGGAGAGACCUAUCUGGCGAAGAACUCAGGAAAACCUCCAGCUGGCAGCCAGCAGCAAGAUGAGCCCCUGAGUCUGGUAGCCCACAAGGAACUAAAUCCUGCCAAUAAUUGUGUGAGCCUGGAAGUGGAUACAUCCCCAUUCAAGCCUCACAUGAGACCCCAGUCCUGGCUGACAUCUGGAUUGCAGUGUCAUAAGAGAUCUUAAAGCAGAGGACCCACUAAGUCAGGCACAGAUUUUCUGACCUACAGAAAUUAUGAGAUAAUGUGUUCUGGUAAACUGCUAAGUUUGUAGUAAUUUACUGUACUACAGUAGAUAACUAAUACAGAACCAAAAAGAAGAAUGUCAGCUAUCUCAUUGUUAAUUGUUUAAUAUUGAUUACAGGUUGAAAUGAGAGCGUUUUGGAAUAUAUUGGGCCAAAUAGAAUAUUUCACCAAAAUUUUACCUUUUUUUUUUCUUUUUUACUUUUUUAAUGUGGGUACUAGAAAAUCUAAAUACGUGGCUUGCAUUAUAUUUACACUGGACGGCACUGGCAUAGAACUCCAAGGAGACAAGAACUUCCUGUAGUUUAUGCAGCCCAGCAUCCUGGAGGGAGUUGGUUGUUACAUCCUUAGCAUCACCCUGUCACUUCCUGGGGCAUGCUACUGAAACAGAAAAUAGUCUGUCACUUCUGGAAAAGAUUGAUUCACCCUUUUUGAAGAUGGGGGAAGCUGUUGUAUAAUUUUUGCCCAGAGGUGAAAUCUGCUUAGUCUUCUUACUUUUGGAUGCUGCCUUCAGGGUUUAAUUUGUUUCAAAUUAAGAGCAGGUGGCAGAUGCAAUUAAAGGGAAGAAAACAAUUGCAAAUUAAGCACGAUUUUUAAAACUUAUUUGCAAGGCAGCAACACAUUCAGGGAAUAAAUGCUAAUUAUUUUGAA